CAGAAUCAGACGUUCAGAGUCAGCCUCGCUGUGUUGUCUGGGUCCAGCCUGAAGCACAUGAAGACCUCGUCUUACACCAAUGAAGCAGACACAGUACCUUCAUGGAAGAACAAACAGGUUCCUGCCCUGCUUGAGUUCCUGCCCUGACUUCCCUCAGUGACGGACUGAUACCUGGAAAUUAACAAAAAAACAGGCCAGUUGUAGCAGUGCACACCUGUGAUCCCAGCACUUGGAGAAGUUCAAGGUCAUCCUCGGCAGCCUGGGAUACAGGAGACCCUGUUUCAAUGACUGAAGAGAAAACUCCUGCAAGAAGCUCACGCUCUCUUGACAUGAAGGAGGAGUUUGACUUCACAGAAACAUCUAGCUUUCGCCUGAGAGACCCAUCCAGCGGCAGCUCCCACUCAAACCUGGAAAAGCACUCGAUAUCAGAGCCCAGCUGACGCCGUCCGCCUCUCCGUGUAAACGCCCACUCACUGACUGUUCAUUGAAGUCGGGGUUGAGGGUCCUCUUCUUCUGAGAGGUCUUCCUCUUGGUGCCUCGAUUCUUGUCUGGCAGCAGCAGCAGCGACACAUAGGGGUCCGGGAGAUCGCGGCCAUUCUGUCGAAGGGCUCUGCAACAGAGGGGUGUGGGCACUGAAGCACCCACGGCAGAGGAUGGAGGGGACCGAGGAGGGCAGGUGGGCGGGGUCUCACCGGCAGCUGUGAACAAUGCUGACCAGCUUUUGCUCGUCGCUGUGGUACCAUAGUGUCAGUCUCACCUGGCCCAGAGGCCCAACAGGAGCCUCCGAGGGGCUGUGGGAAGACGGAGAGAUGGCGUCUAGGAAACCCGUGAGUCAGACUUCAUACUCUUGCCUGCACACCACUUCAUGGCAGUCUUACCUGUCACCAUGCGGGAGGCGAUGCCUGACCUCCAAGACUGGGGAGGUGGCGUGAACGGGUGCCCCUGGGGCCUCAGGUUCCUCACUGAGAGAAGAGGAGCUGUGACUGUGAGCUUCCACUCCAGAGUGCUGGGACACCAGGAUCUGGGGGCAGGAGAGCUGGGCGUUUCCUCACUAGAAGGGCACAACCUCUGCUCCACCCUUUGGGGUUCAGCCCUGAGCCACCCUGCCCCCUCCGGGGACUCACCCCCAGCUGUGCUCUUAUUAGCACCUGGCCCUGACCGUUACUGAGCGCAAACCAGUUGUCCAAGCAGAGUCGGUCUGCCUGGAGGAGCUCGGAGAGAGGCAGGGAUACGGAGCCCAGGGUGCCGGUUCCUUCACCCCGAACCUGUGGGGCAAAUGCACUGAUCAAUUAUUGAAGCUUGGCAUUUAUGAGCCAAACACUGGGGUGGUUUUGGUGAGAGUCCCCUUAGGGAGGAACAGAGUACAUUACAGCUGCUAGCCCCACCCCCCGAAAAUAGCCUCAUCCAGGCUGCCUUCAGAUCCUUG